GUCCUUGUGGCCUAAUGGAUAAGGCGUCAGGCUCCUAAUUUGAAGACAGCAGGUUCGAGUCAUGCCAGGGUCG
rnacentral:tRNA from 1 species